ACUCCUGCGGGAGGCAGCAGUGGGGAAUAUUGGACAAUGGGCGCAAGCCUGAUCCAGCCAUGCCGCGUGAGUGAUGAAGGCCCUAGGGUUGUAAAGCUCUUUCACCGGUGAAGAUAAUGACGGUAACCGGAGAAGAAGCCCCGGCUAACUUCGUGCCAGCAGCCGCGGUAAUACGAAGGGGGCUAGCGUUGUUCGGAUUUACUGGGCGUAAAGCGCACGUAGGCGGACUAUUAAGUCAGGGGUGAAAUCCCGGGGCUCAACCCCGGAACUGCCUUUGAUACUGGUAGUCUUGAGUUCGAGAGAGGUGAGUGGAAUUCCGAGUGUAGAGGUGAAAUUCGUAGAUAUUCGGAGGAACACCAGUGGCGAAGGCGGCUCACUGGCUCGAUACUGACGCUGAGGUGCGAAAGCGUGGGGAGCAAAUAGGAUUAGAUACCCGAGUAGUCCCAUGA
rnacentral:rRNA from 1 species